UAUCAGUUUAUAGAAAUGGGGGUCCAGAGGUUAAGCAGGAACCCCAAUGUCACACAACUUGUAAGUGGGGGAGUCAGCAUUCGCACCCACGACUCACUCCGCAGCCACCUUCCGGCUCUAUCAGGGAGUGUUCCGAACCACCACUCUGGCCCUGUGUCCGCGGCUGAGGACACACUUUCUCACCAAAUCCAGGGCAGCCUCGGUGCUCUUCUACAUAUAGUCGGUCACUCUGGAUCUGCAGGGUGGGUGUGCCAACCAAGCCUGUGGGCUAUCCCAGCACCAUUCCAGCUGCCUUCCCAUCGGCCAUCAUGGGCUCUUUGUGCUGACUCAGGUGUGUCUUAGGGCCCAGCUCCCCCUGCAAUGCUGACGCUGGGCUCAGGUAGGCAGUGCCAGGUGUAUGACAGGAUUCCUGGGAAGGUUUAUCAUUGAUGCGGGGCAUUUUUUCAUUAGCGGUGCGUACAUUUGAGUCAGUCAUUCCCCUCUCCUCUGUUAAACGUUAGUUCCUCUGGGAUCGGUGACAUCCAUACUUUACUGCAAAUUUAUUUUCUGGGUCACUUUUUCUGUGUCCAGUUUUUUCUUUUCCAGUUGUCUGGGGACAUUGGCUGAAACCCAAAGCCUAGAACAAUAGGUGAUCUCCCUUGCCCCCCUCCCCAACUUCCUCACCCCCUCACCUCCACCAACCCACACAUUUUAAAGAGAGAUGCUAGACCAUCCGUGACGAGCUUGCUAAGAAGUAUUCAAACCGGUCCUGCAACUUCUGGUCUUAGCACAUCACCCACCUCCAACCUAGAUCUAAGAGAAGUCUAAAGAAUGUUCAGAGAGCUGAGGAUUUCUUUAAUGAGAAGGAAGGUGCAGCCAAACCCCAUGUGGCUUCGUUAAACUAUUUCUUGGGCAUGGCAUAAUUUCCAUAGUUUGUUGGGCCAGGGCCGGAAUGUUUCCUUGGGGUCCGAGGUGACAUGACUGACACCUUGGGAGAUAGCUAGGCUCGAGGGUCUUGAAAGCUCCCCAACUCAAGAUUUCUGCCUGCUCAGGAAGGGACAUCCCAGUACAAAGUGCCUCUGUGGGCUGAACUUUCAAGCAGGAGCUAAGGGAUGUUUGUAGAAAGUUAGCUGCAGAGGGCAUCACCCAUGUCGCCUGGAUCAGAGAAUGGGGCAGUGCUGCGGGAUCCUCAGCAAGGGGUCUUCAGGAACCCACUCAAGACCCCCUUGAAGAAUAGGGGAAAAGUCUGCCUGUAGACAACUGAGUCUGUGCUCUCAGCAGACCCACGCUCGCCCUCCCCAGAGCAGGUUCCUGCCCUGAGUCUCCUGUGGCAGCUGCAGAUGUCAGGAAAGGCAGCCCUUCCCAGGACCCAACCUCAGGAGGGCCCUGGCCCUAGGGCUCCCUGGAGUGUCUCUAUGGGGAACCAUCCUUUCCUCAUCAUGUAGGGAACUCAUGCCUAGCAUGGUGUCUGGCACACAGAAGACUUUCGACAGAUGUUUGGAUAAAUUCAGCAACUUGUUCAAAUCACAGAUCUAGCAAGGGGCAAAGUGACCAGUGGCCCCCCAAAUACAUCUAGGUCUUAAUCCCUGCAACCUGUGAAUGUCACUUUCCUAAUAUGGCAAAAAGGGCUUUGUCAUAAUCCAGAUGUGAUUAAGUUAAAUUUAAUCCAGAUGUGGUUAAGGAUCUCAAGAUAGGAAGAGUAGCCACGAUUAUCCAGGUGGGCUCCAAAUGCAAUCACAUGUAUCCUUUUAAGGGGAAGGCAGAGGGAAAUUUGACACACAGAAAAGAGAAGGCGAUGUGACCAGAAGGUGGAGAUUGGAGUGAUGCGGUCACAAGCCAGUGAGUGCCACCGGAAGCUGGAAGAGGCGAGAUGAUGGAUUCUUUCCUUCCUUCGAGGCUCUGGACAGAGUGCCACCUUCUCAAUUCCUUGAUUCCAGCCCAGGGACACAGAUUUCAGAACUUUGGUUUCCAGAACCACAAGAGAAUAAAUUUCUAUUGUUUGAAACGACCCAGUUUACGGCAAUUCGAUACGGCAGCCACAGGAAAUUGAUACACCAGGUUUGGGCGAUGGCCCAGGAACACCUUAGAGUCUGCAGUCCUCUGGCCUCUGCCACCUAGAAGGUCAAGAAGGGGUUCCUACGGGCCCCUGUGCCUGCAGCAGAGACAGAGGAGGAGGUGGAGAUGCACUGGGGUUGGUCUGAAAGAAGAGUUUUAAAAAACAGUCUAUAGACUCCCAGGAAUCAGAAGUUGAAAGCCAUCCAUCCAGAAACGCUUAUUAUGCACGUGCUGUGUGGCAGACCUGCUGGGACUACAGAUUUAAGAAGACUUGGAAUUGGGUGUGGGUGGAUUCAUGCUGUUGAGGAUGAGGCGAGGGGGUCCCGGGACUGGGCUGCGGGCUGGAGCUGCGGGGGCGGAGGAAGCCCGAGGCCUGUCCUGCUGGCCCUGCUAAGGGGGCAGGUGCCUGGCCAGGAAGGGCCUGGAAUCUCCUUCACCUGAAAGCAGACGCAAGGAGUGUGCGUCCCAAGGUGGGUGUUUGGUUCAGGUUUCUCAGGAAGUCAAGGCAGUGGUGGUGGAGGAAAGUGGCCUGGAGUCCUGUCUGACCUGGAAGGAAGUGCACGGGGUGAAGCGUGGAGAGGCCAACCUCCAGGGGGACUGUGAGGCCUGCAGCCAAGGUGUGGGGAGCAGGGGAAACAGGCGGAGGCUGCCAGCCACGGAGCUCAUGGCCCGUGUCUCCAGGGACAGAGACGGGGCUCCUGGAGCUGUGGUUUGGGGUCACUUUUGGGUCUGCUUGGCCCGAGGGAAGGGAGUGCUGCCCCUGCAGACAGAGGGACCUCUGGGCCUUGCCACUACUGCUGGGCGUUGACCUUGGGCCUGAGGGUUUGUGGACCUUGGUUGUCACGUGACACUGCAACCUGGGGCUGAGAAUGUACGUGACCUCUUCUGGGAGGCCGUCCGUGGGCACACCGGACUGGAGGGCUCCACUGGCCCAACUCACAUGAUUGGCCGAGAGGGGCCACGACAGCAUCUUCAAUUUUAUGGAAGAAACAGAGCUCAAGGAAGAGGGAGGGCGUCCUACCAAAUCAGGAAGAGACAAAAAGGGGGAGGUUAGCCAGGAAGGGGGGGGGGGGCUGGGAUACUGGUCAGCGCCCAGUAGCUGGAACAUUCCAGCACUUUCCUGAAAGAGAGCUCCCUCAGGGAGAGAAGUUUCAUUCUGUUCAGUUUUUGAGGGGGGCACUUUGAGAGCGUGACAUGGUGAAGACAGUCCCUGCUUCUGUGGUGGUGGGGCUCUCAGCCUCUCCUCUUUUCUCGUCUCUCAGCUUCUCUUUGUCUUUUUUCCCUUCCUGUCUCCUCUCCCUUCUCCCCUUUUCUUCUCCCAUCCUUUCUUUGUGAAUGGCUCCUAGACUCUUCCUGUCUCUCUUUCUGUCCCGUGCUGUGUCUGCAUCGAUCACAGCCCCCUGAACACACACACCCAUUCACACACA